rnacentral:rRNA from 1 species
AGUGAACGCUGGCGGUAGGCCUAACACAUGCAAGUCGAACGGCAGCACAGUAAGAGCUUGCUCUUACGGGUGGCGAGUGGCGGAAGGGUGAGGAAUACAUCGGAAUCUACUUUUUCGGGGGGGAUAACGUAGGGAAACUUACGCUAAUACCGCAUAUGGCCUACGGGUGAAAGCAGGGGAUCUUCGGACCUUUCGCGAUUGAAUGAGCCGAUGUCGGAUUAGCUAGUUGGCUGGGUAAAGGCCCACCAAGGCGACGAUCCGUAGCUGGUCUGAGAGGAUGAUCAGCCACACUGGAACUGAGACACGGUCCAGACUCCUACGGGAGGCAGCAGUGGGGAAUAUUGGACAAUGGGCGAAAGCCUGAUCCAGCAAUACCGCGUGAGUGAUGAAGGCCUUCGGGUUGUAAAGCCCUUUUGUUGGGAAAGAAAAGCAGCAGGUUAAUACCCCGCUGUUCUGACGGUACCCAAAGAAUAAGCACCGGCUAACUUCGUG